rnacentral:lncRNA from 1 species
UACCUCACCCUACAUGCAUGGCCCUCCUAUACCACCCCCUUCUCUUCCUCUCUCCCAGAUCAAUUCUGCCCUCAUCCUUUUCAUGCCCCACCCACUCCUUGUCCCUCUCCCUCCACCCUAUUCCCUUCCCACUACUUUUUUUUGGCACGUACCUUCCCACUCCUUUCUUUGCACUUGAAGGUUCUAGCAAUUGUUGUUACAAUUCACCAACCAUCAUCGAAUCAAGGCA